CACAGGCUCUAUGUUGUUUUAAUCCCCCAACGUAGACUUCAAGGCAGCGCUGCGACCGUGACUUCAAGGCACCAAACCAUUGCCCAAUCCUAGUGCUGCCUGAAAGGCGAAGUUGGGGGCACUAUACCCCAAACACCGCAAGAGAUUGGUCAACACUGACAGUAAUGCAGCGCAAUAUGAUUGACUUCGUCUUAGGUUUAUCAACCUAUGAAACUAAUAAUGAACAAUACGAAAC